AACCUCCGCAAUGUGAGAAAUCGCGACGGGGGGAUCCCAAGCGCCAUUCUUAACGGGAUGGCUUUUCAUUAGUGUAAAGAGCUUUUGGAAUAAGAGCUGGGCAAGACCGGUGCCAGCCGCCGCGGUAACACCGGCAGCUCUAGUGGUAACAAUUUUUAUUGGGCCUAAAGCGUCCGUAGCCGGUUUAAUAAGUCUCUGGUGAAAUCCUGUAGCUUAACUGUGGGAAUUGCUGGAGAUACUAUUAGACUUGAGACCGGGAGAGGUUAGAGGUACUCCCAGGGUAGAGGUGAAAUUCUGUAAUCCUGGGAGGACCGCCUGUUGCGAAGGCGUCUAACUGGAACGGUUCUGACGGUGAGGGACGAAAGUUAGGGGCGCGAACCGGAUUAGAUACCCGGGUAGUCCUAACUGUAACGAUGCGGACUUGGUGUUGGGGUGGCUUUGAGCUGCUCCAGUGCCGAAGGGAAGCUGUUAAGUCCGCCGCCUGGGAAGUACGGUCGCAAGACUGAAACUUAAAGGAAUU
rnacentral:rRNA from 1 species